UGGGGGAUAUUGCACAAUGGGCGAAAGCCUGAUGCAGCGACGCCGCGUGGGGGAUGAAGGCCUUCGGGUUGUAAACUUCUUUUGCUCUGAACAAGGCGCACCAUGGGGUGUGUUGAGUGUAGGGGUUGAUUAGCGCCGGCUAACUACGUGCCAGCAGCCGCGGUAAUACGUAGGGCGCGAGCGUUGUCUGGAAUUAUUGGGCGUAAAGGGCUUGUAGGUGGCUGGUUGCGUCUGUCGUGAAAGCUCAUGGCUUAACUGUGGGUUUGCGGUGGGUACGGGCUGGAUUGAGUGCAGUAGGGGAGGCUGGAAUUCCUGGUGUAGCGGUGGAAUGCGCAGAUAUCAGGAGGAAUACCGGUGGCGAAGGCGGGUCUCUGGGCUGUUACUGACACUGAGGAGCGAAAGCAUGGGGAGCGAACAGG
rnacentral:rRNA from 1 species